UACGUAGGGUGCAAGCGUUGUCCGGAAUUAUUGGGCGUAAAGAGCUCGUAGGCGGUUUGUCGCGUCUGCUGUGAAAACUCGGGGCUUAACUCCGGGCCUGCAGUGGGUACGGGCAGACUAGAGUGCGGUAGGGGAGACUGGAAUUCCUGGUGUAGCGGUGAAAUGCGCAGAUAUCAGGAGGAACACCGGUGGCGAAGGCGGGUCUCUGGGCCGUUACUGACGCUGAGGAGCGAAAGCGUGGGGAGCGAACAGG
rnacentral:rRNA from 1 species